UCGGCUGCAAGAGCCCCGGGCAAACCAUCGCCCCUGAUGAACUCAAACUUGAGGACUUCAGACAAAGAACUGCCUCCCAUCUGCCAGAAUGUUCCCCGUGAGUGGGCGGCCCCACGUAGCACUGCCUCGGUCGCCCACGGGGCAGUCACCCGGAUGGCCAAGGAGCCCCAUAGAAGGGAUGCCGCUCUCCCCGAAUGCGCAACGGGACUGGGAAAGAGGACCCUCACGAUCAGCUGCCUCACCCAAACCCACUCAUCAGUGAACGGAUGCGACUGGCAAGCUGGACAUCCGUGGGGCAGAAAGAACACACGGAGGGGUCUGCGCCGUGUGGCUCUCUCAGCCACAGACAUUCUUCGAAUGCAGAGGAAAACAAGAGAUUGACUCUAAGGCCUGCGUGGGAUUGAGAUUGGGUCUGAGCUGUUUAUCUUGUCUCCACCCCAGCACUCGGUACAGUGCUUGGCACAGAGACAAUCUCCGUCGAGAAACCUGCUACCCUUGGUGCCUCAGAAACACCAACUCUGCCACUGAAGUGAAAAAGAGGGGUUCGGCUCCCGAUAGCCCCCCAAAGGUGCAGCGGUGGAAUUUGAGCCAGCCGGCCGGCACAACCAGGGGGUGUUCAUCGGACCGAUCCCGGCUGGUCAAGAACAGAGGAGAGUCGACUGUGCUGCAUGACUCCAGGGACGAUAAUGAUCAAAAUGGCCACGAGCUUGCAGAAGGUGAGGAAGAUCUGGAUUCGAGCACUCCAGC